CUCUUCGGGGAUGAUUAAACCGGCGCACGGGUGAGUAACACGUGAGUGACCUGCCUUUUAGACUGGAACAACUUACCGAAAGGUGAGCUAAUGCCGGAUGAGUUAUAUAAGUGCAUGUUUAUAUAGGAAAAGUUGGGGAGACCUGACGCUGAAAGAUGGACUCGCGUCCCAUUAGCUAGUUGGUAGGGUAAUGGCCUACCAAGGCGACGAUGGGUAGCCGGCCUGAGAGGGUGGCCGGCCACACUGGGACUGAGACACGGCCCAGACUCCUACGGGAGGCAGCAGUGGGGAAUUUUGCGCAAUGCUCGUAAGAGUGACGCAGCGACGCCGCGUGAAUGACGAAGGCCUUCGGGUCGUAAAGUUCUUUCGACAGGGAAGAAAAUGCCUAUAAGUAACUGUGUAUGUAUUGACGGUACCUGUAUAAGCAGCCCCGGCUAACUCCGUGCCAGCAGCCGCGGUAAUACGGAGGGGGCGAGCGUUGUUCGGAGUGACUGGGCGUAAAGAGCACGUAGGCGGUGUUGUAAGUCAUUAGUCAAAGACUAGAGCUCAACUUUAGUAAGGCUAGUGAUACUAUAAUACUAGAGUAUCAGAGAGGAUUGCAGAAUUCCUGGUGUAGCGGUGAAAUGCGUAGAUAUCAGGAGGAAUACCGUUAGCGAAGGCGGCAAUCUGGCUGGAAACUGACGCUGAGGUGCGAAAGCGUGGGUAGCAAACAGGAUUAGAUACCCUGGUAGUCCACGCUGUAAACGAUGGAUGCUAGGUGUUGGGCUUUUAAGUUCAGUGCCGCAGCAAACGCGAUAAGCAUCCCGCCUGGGGAGUACGUUUGCAAGAAUGAAAC
rnacentral:rRNA from 1 species